AUUCAAAGUAGAAUAAACUUACAUUCGAAAGUAAUGCCAUGAAUGAGUAACUUUAAGUUACGUGAGAUGGAAUUUUUAAGUUUUGGUCAUGACCACGCCUCUUACAUUUCCGCUGCAUUCAAGUAGUAUAGGAAGGUUCAGUUUUCCCGAGGUCAUUUUUCAACUUAGUGGAUGCUACAAAGAAGAUUUUUUAUAUUUUAAUACUGAAAACAUUUAAAAAGACAUGGUUAGCCGUUUCUGGUGAUAUUUAAUGUUGUUAUCAACUAUGCAGAAACACUUUUUAAGCUUUAUAUCAGUGAUUUUAUCCCAGACUUGUUGUUGUGUUCUACUAGUAGACUCUACAAUGCCUAAAAUCACAAAAAAUAUUGACUUGGUAUCAUUGAUAUUAUAGUUUAUGCAAAUAAAUAACUCACUAAUCUAUUUUACUCUACACGGGCAGAUAUUUACUGUAGCCUAUCAGUGUUUGUGUGAUCUUUGUCAGUCGGAAAAUCAUUUACCCGAUUAUUCUGACAUCACUUGAAUGCAGCAUAGGCCACCUGCCUGAAGGCAUGUUGCAGCACGUCACUUCUGCGUAUUUUCAACUGUUCGUUGCUGUUGUGUCCGACAGACAUUUUACAACUUAUUCGUUUUUUAUCUACAACGAGGAGUAAUUUGUAAGCAGUGGAAACUUUUAUUUUAUUACUAAACAAGCCAUUGGCGGCUGCCGUGGCCGACCACUUGUGCGUCAAAUGGAGUAACAGACGAAGAAGGAGGGCAAGAGGACGACUGAAUCUGACACACAGUAAACAAGCUGUUGGCGCUGCGGCUGCCCUGCCAGACGACUUGUGCCUCGAGUAAAGUAGAGACGGAAAAAAGAGGGUGACAGGACAACUGAAUCUGGAUUCCUGGAGAGUUUCAAGGUCGACAAGUUUUGCAGAUUCUGUCUAGCAAGCAGCAAAGACACACAGCAGCAAGAGAUGGCUCUGCAAGAGAAAUUCAUCAUGAGGGUUAUUGUCUCAGAGGGAGACAUCAGAAAAUUGACAAUGACAACACGACCGGACACACUUGAAGAUUUGAUUGGCUGGCUUAAAGGCACUCUCCAAGCAAAUUACAACUUUGUCCUGCAGUACCAAGACCCCGACUUUAACAAUGAACUGUGUAACCUUGAAGAUGUCUCAGAGCUCCCAGAUAAGCCAACAAUUAAAAUCAUCCCUAUGAUUGAAUUGGCACCAGUCACUCAACCAGUUGAACAAUCUUCAUUGUGUAGUGACGCAAGCAGCCUGGCAGACACCGAGAUCCUGUCCAACUCCUCUCUGGAUAGAAGUGCGCCAUGGCCGGAGGUGUUUGAAAUUCCUAAAUUUUCAGUUGAUGUUGAGUACCGACUCCGUCAAGGUAACUUGUUAUAUCUAAGAGAUGGAACCUAUCUUAAAGUGACAAAAGAGUUGAAGCAUGAUAUCCUUGAGAAAUUGGCUGAGGUCAUCUAUGCAUUUGAUGCAUACCCAAAAAAGGAAGAUUUAGAG